AGCGGUGAAAUGCGUAGAUAUCAGAAGGAACACCAAUGGCGAAGGCAACUUUCUGGACCAAUACUGACGCUGAGGUACGAAAGCGUGGGUAGCAAACAGGAUUAGAUACCCUGGUAGUCCACGCCGUAAACGAUGAUAACUAGCCGUUGGGGGGAUUUACCCCUUAGUGGCGAAGCUAACGCGUUAAGUUAUCCGCCUGGGGAGUACGGCCGCAAGGUUAAAACUCAAAGGAAUUGACGGGGACCCGCACAAGCGGUGGAGCAUGUGGUUUAAUUCGAUGCAACGCGAAGAACCUUACCUGGUCUUGACAUCCUGAGAACUUUCUAGAAAUAGAUUGGUGCCUUCGGGAACUCAGUGACAGGUGCUGCAUGGCUGUCGUCAGCUCGUGUCGUGAGAUGUUGGGUUAAGUCCCGUAACGAGCGCAACCCCUAUCCUUAUUUGCCAGCACAUCAUGGUGGGAACUAUAAGGAGACUGCCGGUGAUAAACCGGAGGAAGGCGGGGACGACGUCAAGUCAUCAUGGCCCUUACGACCAGGGCUACACACGUGCUACAAUGGGAAGGACAAAGAGCCGCGAAGCCGCGAGGUGUAGCUAAUCUCAGAAACCUUUUCGUAGUCCGGAUUGGAGUCUGCAACUCGACUCCAUGAAGUCGGAAUCGCUAGUAAUCGUAGAUCAGAAUGCUACGGUGAAUACGUUCCCGGGUCUUGUACACACCGCCCGUCACACCAUGGGAGUGGGUUGCACCAGAAGUGGCUAGUCUAACUUUAUUGAGGACGGUCACCACGGUGUGAUUCAUGACUGGGAUGAAGUCGUAACAAGGUAGCCCUACCGGAAGGUGGGGCUG
rnacentral:rRNA from 1 species